rnacentral:tRNA from 1 species
GACCUCGUAGUUCAAUGGAUAGAACAGCCCCCUCCUAAGGGGCAGAUGUAGGUUCGAUUCCUACCGGGGUUACCA